rnacentral:tRNA from 1 species
GUUUAACUCAGUGGUAGAGGGCUUGCCUGGCAUGCAUGAGGCCCUGAGUUUGAUCCCCAUAAAAUAAACA